UACCAGGUUUAUUCUUGCAGCAUGUCAAGGUGGUAAUAGUGUGUGGAAUAAAUAGCAUUGGCCCAAAACCUCAGGGCUAGAAAGAAAUCAGGACAUAAACAAAUAAAAAUUUUAAUAGGAACAGAACAUAUUUAGCCAGCGCCACAGGCACGAACUUUGGUGCUUCCCUCAAGAUUAUGAUAAUUAUAAAUGUGGAGAAAAUCCUCUUCUAUCUGCAAUUGCUAUUAAGAAGCUCUAUGUGCCUCUCUGGGUUUGACAGGCUACCUGUGAACUGGAUGUGGUGUUUGUCAUGAGGUUUGGUCUCAAAAUUUUCUUCAUCAAGGAUGGUUCUGGAACAUGACUGAACCAGUUUGACCAAUGGACUGAAUGCUCAUGAUGUAUUCAUUUGAUUCAAUUCCUGCCAAAGUCUGACCUGACAGAGUCGGAGCUGAAAAAACAGAAAGACAAAUAAGUAAACUACGAACAACAGAUGAGGAGUCGAGGAUGUACGUAUGUUAGCACUGCGGUCUGCACGUCCCCCCAGCGGGCAAUGCUGGCGUGGAAUGCUUGGCUCCUAAUGCAGUAGGAAUAGUUCUGGGAAGUGAUAGGUUUCAGGGCCUCAACCUCAUGAAUGGAGUGAUCCAGUGAUAGGUCCGUAAUUUACUGGGAUACUGGGAGAUGGUGCAGACUUCAGGAGGUGGGGCCUUGUUGGAAACAUAGUUCACUUGGGCCAUGUUUCUGAAGGGUGUGCUGUACCCCUUGCCCAUUCUUCUCUCCCGACCUUUCUGGCUGCCAUGAGGUGAGCAAAUGUGUUCUGCCAUGCCCUUCUGCAUAGUUUCCUACCACACAGUAGACUGAAGACAAAAGAACUAGCUGCCCCUGACUGAAUCUCUAAAAACUGUGGGCCAAAGUAAACCUUUCCUCACUUCCAUUGUUAUCCUCGGGUCUUUUGCUAUGGCGAUGGGAAGCUGACACAGUGUACUCAGCAUUCCCUUGAGACAGAGCAUAGUGCCAAGUGGGGGUGGAGGCCAAAAUGCAAAGGCAAAAGUGCAGGGCUCUGCCUGCAAGGAUCUGAGCUCGCUGGGCUCUGUGCGAUGCAAGGGUGGGGAAGGGACAUAGCCUGGUGAGGACCCUUGGCUCUGGUGGCUUAGAAAUGGUUUCCAAGGGAGGGUACCUGCAGGCCUAUCUGCUGGAACUCAUACUCUGUCUACUGGAUCUCACAAAUGUCUCCCCAGCACUGGAAUCCUCCAGCAUCUCUGAAAAAUCAACCCUGUGCUUAGCUAUGAGUUUGUUUCGAAAGGGCCACAAACUUGUGACUCUGACAUUCAUGUAUCUUCCAAAGCAGCAGGAGCACAGGAAGGAAGGUCAGAGUUCUGAGUCAGGGGUGGAGUUUCCUCCUGGAUCAUGGGGCCACUCAGAAGGGCUGCAGGGAGCAGCAGUGGCCUGAGCCAAAGUCACCUGCUCUGGGAGCCCACACCUUAGAUGUGAGGGUGCCCUGCCUGCUCUGUGAAGCUGCUGGUUGUGGCACGAGGGCCCCAAAGAAGCCUUCAAAUACUCCUCAUCUCAACCUAGAGCCUAGUUUGAAAAUUAAAAAUCAAGCCUUUAGUUCAUGUUGGAUUUUAUUCCUUUACUGAAAGAAUUAUUUGAAGAGUAACAUGAGAAACUGGAGUGCACUGAGAAUGGCACUGACAGAGGACUGGUCCAUAUAUUUGUUUAUCCAGGUUAUAAAUUGUCUUUUUAUGAUGCUGAAAGCCAUGUUGAAAUCAGGUCAUUUUAAAAGAAUUUAUUAAAAGGUAUUGCAAAUGCAAGGCCUUAGAGAAAGUCCUUUGCCUGAGUGAUUUAGGGUGGAUUUACCUAAUUCUGGUAAUGCCCUUGUGACCACGUGCUGGCACAUGUCAUUCUGCCUCUGUCUCUUUCUUAUACCUUGCUUCCAGCCAGGGGAGAGAAACCAGAAUUUUCCCUGGGUUGGGGCUCAAGGAACUUUGGGAGGAAGAGGCUUCCAUUUCCUGGAUUUCAUAGACCCAGAGCCCAGGAAAGACAAUAGCAGUGAAGUGAUCUGUCCCCGGGGAGCAACGGACAGGGCUGCUUUGCUUUUACAAAUUGUAACCGCUGGGAGGUUCAAGGCCAGGUCCUGCUCCUGAUUCUAGAAUCCUCUGAGUAACUCGUGGCUAAAUAGCCGCUUGCCAGUGGACACCAUGCAAGGCCAGCCCGGCAGUACUUACAGUCAGUUUUAUAUUCUGGUCUAAUUUUCAUCUUUAGGAUUUGGGCUGGGAAUGGACACCUGGUGAAGGGCAGGUCAUGGUGGGGCUCAUGUCUAUGUUGCCUUUCCUGCCCAUUUUCAGUGCUUAGCACUUUCUCCUCCCCACUCUGAGUUUUCAUAUUUAUUUCAUGUGGUUAUUUUUCAUGGGGGAUGAAGAUUUAUUUCACAACUGAAAUCCUGAGCUCCAAUUGUGAAAACUGCCCCAGGGACGAUCCACAGGAGAACCUCACACUCUACCUCUUCUGUGAGGAUAACAGGCACCAUGUCACUCUUGGAUCCCAUGGGGAAGAAGCAGAGGGAGCCGUUGUCCCUCCCUCCACUGUCCUGGGGCACAGCAGUGAGGCGGGCUGGCCACGCUACCACGGCCAACAUGCACAGGUGGUAUGGCCUCAUUCCGAAACCUGGGACAGACACAAACAGCCCCUGCAACUUGCAGAGCCACCGGCCCUCCCACAGCCUGGUUUUCUGCCCUUUCUUUAUCUCCAAUUAUAAAGCAGCGCCAGGUUUUCUUGUCAGCCACCGCCAUGUCUCCAAAUGGCUUUUCAGUGUCAGGCCCAUCAGGAAAUUAACUCAUCAUGCCGUGACAGCUGCUAAUUUUUUCCCCUUACAUGUCAGAUGGAUCGCCCGCUGAAGCUAAUAAUGAAUCACCAAUCCCUGAUUAGAAGGUGCUUCCGAAACGUAUAACUGCCACCAGAGCUAACUUUUUUCUUCAUGUAAAAUGAUAUCACCCUAGAGGAGGAGAAAACGAAUUGUAUUCUCCAACCAAUGGAACAGGAGGAGGCUGCUUAAGUGCCAUAUGAUGAAGAGCGGAAACAGAGUGCUCAUAGAGACAGUGAUGAGGAUUUCUCCGCUCAUUAAGCAACACCUUUGUUAUUGGCCACUGGAGGAUUCCUGGGAGCUGUGUCACCAGCGCACAGUGAUGGGGCUCAGUGAAACAACCUGAUCUUUGAAAGCCUCCAGCUACGGGGAGAUUAUUUCAGAGGAGCUAAUUUUCUAGAAAGCAAAGAUGCAGCAAUGGUACUCUGCAAAGGAAGCGUCUGGUCUUUUACAAACGGGUAUCUGAAUAACAGAUUUUACGUGUUGACUGCCAGUCAUAGGAUGCUCUGUGAAGUUUCACAUGGGUCCCAAAGCCUGGAAAGUCUCUGCCCAGGUCUCUGCAUGGUGUAAAUCUCAGGCCCAGUUUGGCUCUGAUAAUCCGUCUUCAGAGAAGCCCUUUGUGAUGAGUCAGUUCAAAGAAACUUCCCUGUGGGAAUCCGUACCCACAUUAGUUGUCGCCUUGUGAACACUUACCAUUAGCUUUACUCAUUUUGCUUAGUGUUUGUUUUAGGUUGACAUUCCUAAGCCACAGGCAUGCACAAUAAAUGAUGAUGCUUA